rnacentral:rRNA from 1 species
UACGUAGGGGGCAAGCGUUGUCCGGAAUCAUUGGGCGUAAAGCGCGUGUAGGCGGCUUGGUAAGUCUGCUCUGAAAGCCCGGGGCUCAACCCCGGGAGGCGGGUGGAUACUGUCAAGCUCGAGUCCGGAAGAGGAGUGUGGAAUUCCUGGUGUAGCGGUGAAAUGCGUAGAUAUCGUAAGGAAGACCAGUGGCGAAGGCGGAUCUCUGGACAGUUACUGACACUGAGGCACGAAGGCCAGGGGAGCAAACGGG